rnacentral:rRNA from 1 species
CGUGUAGGCGGCUUGGUAAGUCAGAUGUGAAAGCCCAGGGCUCAACCCUGGAAGUGCAUUUGAUACUGCCAUGCUUGAGUAUGGGAGAGGAGAGCUGAAUUCCCAGUGUAGAGGUGAAAUUCGUAGAUAUUGGGAGGAGCACCCGUGGCGAAGGCGGCUCUCUGGACCAAUACUGACGCUGAGACGCGAAAGCGUGGGGAGCAAACAGGAUUAGAUACCCUGGUAGUCC